GCUUGCCGAGUAUGAAGAUAGUACAAUUAAUUUCCAAUUAAUGGGUUCGGUAAUCGGGGUGAGUA
rnacentral:tRNA from 1 species